UAGAGUCACCAACUGUUCAUGUUUGCCUGGGACUGAGGAAUUUCCCAGGAUGCAGGACUUUCAGUCUUAGGCAAACCUGGGUGGUUGGUAACUCAGAUUCCAA
rnacentral:pre_miRNA from 9 species